AUGGGUAUCCUCGAGAGGAUCAAGGAGAUUGAGGCCGAGAUGGCCCGGACGCAGAAGAACAAAGCAACAGAAUAUCAUCUUGGACAACUGAAGGCAAAAAUUGCAAAACUGAGGACACAGUUAUUAGAGCCUCCAAAGGGUGCCAGUGCUGGAGGAGAUGGUUUUGAGGUCACAAAGUUUGGGCACGGUCGUGUUGCGCUUAUAGGGUUUCCCAGUGUUGGAAAGUCAACUCUUUUAACUAUGCUGACCGGGACACAUUCUGAAGCUGCAUCAUAUGAGUUCACAACCCUCACUUGCAUUCCUGGUAUUAUCCAUUACAAUGACACCAAAAUCCAGCUUCUUGAUCUUCCCGGUAUCAUUGAAGGCGCCUCUGAAGGCAAGGGGCGUGGUAGGCAGGUUAUCGCUGUCGCCAAGUCAUCGGAUCUCGUGCUUAUGGUUCUUGACGCCUCAAAAAGUGAAGGGCAUCGCCAAAUAUUAACUAGAGAACUGGAAGCUGUUGGCCUCCGUCUGAACAAAAGGCCUCCUCAGAUAUACUUCAAGAGGAAGAAGACUGGUGGGAUUUCUUUCAACAGCACAGCACCUUUAACUCAUAUUGAUGAGAAGCUCUGCUAUCAGAUACUGCAUGAGUACAAAAUUCAUAAUGCAGAGGUAUUAUUCCGUGAGGAUUCUACUGUGGAUGAUCUGAUUGAUGUGAUUGAAGGAAAUCGGAAGUACAUCAAGUGUGUUUAUGUAUAUAAUAAGAUUGAUGUUGUGGGUAUUGAUGAUGUGGAUAAUCUUGCUCGGCAACCAAAUUCACUUGUUAUCAGCUGCAAUUUGCAGUUGAACUUGGACAGGCUAUUAGCAAGAAUGUGGGAGGAAAUGGGUCUGGUGAGAGUGUAUACAAAGCCGCAGGGUCAGCAGCCCGAUUUCGGAGAUCCAGUGGUUCUUUCUAGUGAUAGGGGUGGUUGCACAGUUGAAGACUUCUGCAAUCACAUCCACAGGAGCUUACUCAAGGAUGUGAAAUAUGUGCUCGUGUGGGGAACGAGUGCUCGGCACUAUCCACAGCAUUGUGGUCUUGGCCAUGGUCUUGAAGACGAGGAUGUGGUCCAGAUAGUAAAGAAGAAGGAAAAAGAGGAGGGCGGACGAGGCCGUUUCAAGUCGCACACCAAUGCACCUGACCGAAUCUCCGACAGGGUGAAGAAAGCUCCUCUCAAGACAUGA
rnacentral:rRNA from 1 species